CGUUGCUCUAGAGAUUUUGAUUCACUUUGUUUUCUUCACCAGAGACUGAAAAAUCCCUAAAAGCCAUCACUCCUCCAGAUCCAAAUACCUAGAACUGCAUAAGAUUUCUAUCACCAAACCCCCCAAAUUUGUAAAAGCUAGUAAGCUAUUACUAGAUCACUAAGCUAUUACUCCAUAUUUGUCGUCAGAUCCCUAAAACCCAUUAUUGCGCUAAACCAUUAAGACAUCAAAACUUGUUUUUCUUCACAAUUGUCCCUCCAGCUCCCAAAAAGCCAUUAUGGAGCCAAACAAAAAGCCAUCACUUUCCUUUGUUCUUCACCAUAGCUGAUAGAUCUCUAAGGCUAAGCUCUCCUUAGAGAUCUAGUUGCCUUUUGUCCAGAUCAACAAAUCUCUAAGGCUCAUUUUAUUUGCUCACCAUCCCACACCCCCCUUCAUAUCAGAGAUUGAUCUGAUAUCAACUUCCUCUACUUGUAGCUCGCACUAGUUUCUAUUGAAGCUCCAGAUAUGCUUCAAUGUAUUUGAUAAAGCUGUACACCUUCAUGAUAUCGAUCAUCUAUCUCUAACAAUUCAAAUAUUACUUGGUAAGUCUGUAAUUUUGUCUAGUUGGAGUGUAUAUCAUCUACAAUGUUGUUGCUCUACUAAAAUGAUAUUAGUGGCAGUAGUUUUGUUUAUUAAUUUACUUGGCUCAAGUAUGUUGUGUACAAUAAAAUUGGUGCUUGUUUUGUCAUACAACCAAGUAGCUUGUACUCAGAUUUGUAAUGAUAAUAUUUCAUUGUUCAUGAAGUUCUUUUCAAUUUGUUAGUGUAUGGUAUAUCUAGAGAGGUUAUGUGUUUUUUAUUGUUGAUUCAUGAACUGCAGUUUAUUGAUUACAAGGGGUAUGAAUUUAAAGAUGUUGUUAUGUCUUGUGUACUAUGAAUAAACAGAUAGUUAUUUGAAUCAAUUGUAUUGUUAGUAGCAUGCUUUCAUUUUUUUAAAUUGCAAUUUUGAUGAAAUUCCUAUGCAUAUAUCAUUUUGCUAGAAAAAAAUAUUCAAUGGAAGGUGCUGAAAGCUCGGAUAAAGCAUUUUGGAGUAAAGAGAUGUUGCAUGCAUUUUGUAAUAUUUGUAUUGUCGCUAUUGAGAAAGGAAUGAGGCCAACCACUCAUUCCGAUAAGGCCGAAUGGAAAUUUCUUAUGGCUGUCUUCAAAGAGAAAACUGGUCUUGCUUUUACUAAGACUGAACUAAAAAAACAAAUGGGAUGGUGCAAAAAAAGUGUGGAGGAUUUGGAAAAAACUGAUAUCUGAAACAGGAGUAGGAUGGAAUAAUGAACUUGGAACUAUUAGUGCUAGUGAUGAGUGGUGUAAUAAAAAAAACUCAGGAAAUUAAAGGGUCUAAAAAGUUUAGACAUGCUGGAAUUGAACCUUCACUUUGCAAUAAGUUUGAUAGAAUGUUCAGCAAUAUUGUGGCAAUUGGACUA